AAGAUUGAAUCAGUUGGCUAUGCACUUGUAAAGAUGUUUGGUGUAGAUCCGGGGGCAACUAUACAAGCAAAAGUGACGAAGUACAUGACUUCAUUAUUUAGUGAGUAUGUAAAGUCCGGCUCAAAAGGUGUUGUGCUUGCUUCAUCUUCAGAUUGUUCUUCAUUGGACACUUCGACUUCCGGGCUUUCUGGCAGUCAAGCAAGCACCCAAAAUAUAGGACUUUCAGAAUCACUCAUGCAAGAUAUAAAAAAAUAUAAAAGUGGGAGUGGAGGUGUUGAUACUAGAACAGAGUUAGAUAAAUAUUUAAGUGAAGAAACUGAGGAUGACACUAAAGAAUUUGAUGUUCUUCUUUGGUGGAAAUUGAACUCAGCUAGAUUUUCUAUUCUUGCGGAGAUGGCUCGUGAUGUAUUAGCUGUUCCGAUUUCAACUGUGGCAUCUGAAUGUGCAUUUAGUAUGGGAGGACGUCUUCUUGAUUCAUUUAGGAGUUCAUUAACUCCUAAAUUGGUGCAAGCUCUAGUGUGUCUUCAAGAUUGGCUUCAAAAUGAAAAAUUAAAACAACCUAUUAGUGUUGAGGAAGAUCUUGAUAAAAUCGAGCAGCUUGAAUAAGGUAAUAAUAUUGUUACUAUAUUUGUUGUUUAUAAGUGUUGUUGAUAUGCUUAUAUUUAUCGCACGACUCAUUAUUUAAAUUGUUUUCUUCAGAUUUAGCCGCAAUGGAAAAGACCCUUCCGUAAUGGACGUGUAGUGUUAAUAUAUCUGGUAAGAAUUCGAAUUUAACCCAUCAAGGCUUCAAGUAUUUGUUCUAAAAAAUAUCUUUUUUCACUCUUCAAUGAAAUAUUGAAAAACAUUAUCCAUGGUAAGUCAUUUUUUAGGAAGUUCAUACCAAACACAUUUUGAUUACAGAAUGUGGAACUAUGUUUGUGUUUCAUCAUCUUAGUGCUUGUGAUUUUGUCGAUGGAAUUGUUUCAGUGACAUGACAGUCUCUGCAAGGGUCGCAAGACGUAAAAUUUUCUGACCAAACGAUUGACCUACAGUUGCCUCUUUUUUACUUGUGCUGUCGAUCUUGGCAUGGCCGUUAUUGUGUUGGCUAGCACCGUUGUUGAGAUUUGAGUCGUUGACUGCUGAUUUCUUGUUGUUGUUUCCUACAGAAUUGGAUUUCUUGAGAGCUUGAACUUGGUUUGGCUAUGGUUGAAUCGCCUGUGGUAAGAGCUGUCCGUUGUAGAAAAAAAUAUCAACUGGGCAGUUACUAUUAAUUGGACCCACAGAAUUGGUGUAUGCAUUUUUUUUGAAGCUACAGAAAUUCAAGAUACAGAAUGUGAGACUGUGACUUUAAUUGCUGAAGACUCAUAUGUAAUCAACCUAGUUCUGCUUUUUUCACUCUCAAAUGAUAUAUAAUCAACCUAGCUCAUUUCCACUUCUUCAUUUACUGUGACUUUAAUUGUUGCAGACUCAUAUGUAAUCUACCUAGUUCUGCUUUUUUCAAUCUCAAAUGAUGUGUUCUGCUUUUUUAAAAGACACGUAUGUCUGGUGUAAUUUCGAUUUCUGAAUUUGUAUGCUAGGCCGAUAAACCGUCCGAUAACCGCCCGAUAAGAGCUAAACCGAUACCAAUCCAUCUUAUAUCUUAUCGAGUAGCUAGCGGAUUAAUACAUUUAAAAGCCGAUAACCGAUAAGCCAAACCGUUAAAAGUAAAUAAGUGUCUAAUUCGCCCGAUAAGCAGUCCUAAACAUGAGAAGAAAAGGUAACACCAAAAAUCAGAGAGAAGUAUGCAAACCCAAGUAAUUUCAGCAGUGGCCUUACUCAUAGACCUGUAUUCAGCUUCAGUAGAUGACAAGGACACCACAGAUUGCUUCUUUGACUUCCAGCCUAUGAGACAUCCCCCUAGUAAAAUGCAAAACACACUGAUUGACUUCCUACUACAUGUGAGGAAGGCAAUGCUUCUACAUAAAUUGGUUUAAAUGUUGCAUUGCAAAACAAAUGUCAGGUCUGAUAUGGGUUAAGAAGUUGAGUUUACCCACUAAGCAACUAUAAGUCUCAGGAUUAGGCAAGCGAUCACCAUGAUCAGCCUGCAACUUGUCAUGCAUAUCAAGAGGGGAUACCACUGAAGAACAAUCAUAAGAGUGGAACUCUUUGAGAAGAUCAUGAACAAACUUUUUCUGGUGCAGCAACACCCCACCUUCAGAAUACAACACUUCAUUACCCAGAAAAUAUUAAGGUGGCCUAAAUCCUUAAUUUUAAAUUGAUCAUAGAGAAAGAUUUUCACAAUAGCAAUCUCACACAAAUUUGUCCCAGUGAUGAUAAUGUCAUCAACAUACACUACCAAAAGAACCAAAACAUCACCAGAACCUUUAAUAAAGAGUGAAUAGUCAUUGAAGGAGUGCUCAUAGCCUCUAGAAGACAAAGAUUGAGACAACUUGGUAUACCAUUGCCUUGAAGCUUGUCUCAAACCAUAUAAUUUUUUUUUGAGUUUACAGACUAAAGAAGUGGAAGCAGAAGUAGAGGAUACAGUAGAAACUGAAAGACCAGGUGGAAGCUUUAUAAAAACUUCUUCAUCUAAGUCCCCAUACAAGAAAGCAUUAUUAACAUCUAGUUGGAAUAGUGGCCAAUUUCUUUUAACAGCUACAACAAUUAAAGUUUUAACAGUAAGACAUUUUAACUACAUGUGAAAAGUUUCAUGAAAGUCUAUGCCUUCAACCUGUGUAUCACCCCUUACCACAAGCCUAGCUUUAUAUCUCUCUAUGCUCCCAUCAGCUUUGUACUUAAUUUUAUAUACCCGUUUGCAGCCAAUUGGCUUCUUGCCCUUGGGUAACUCAACUAUGUCCCAAGUACCAUUAGUCUCCAAUGCCUCAAACUCUAGUCUCAUAGCAUUCUGCCACUCAGGGAUAGCUGUUGCCUUAGAAUAAGUAGUAGUCUCAAAUGCAUGAUGCUCACUAGAAGUAGACAUAACAGCUGAAUUAGCAGAGCUAGAGCCAUGAGUUGGUAGGUUGUAGACAUAAUUCUGUAGAUACGAAGGAGGACUAUGAGGUCUAGAUGAUCUCUUUAAGGGGGGAAUUCAGAUUCUGAGAAAUGGAGAUUAGGAGAAGUAGGAGAUCUGCUCUUAUAUAUUUCAGAAGCGGAACAAGUAGGAUUAGAGGGAUGAGGAGAGACAGGAGAUGCAACAGGUGGAGCAAGGUAGAAGAAGUCAUGGAACAAAGAAGAAUUCUGCUUAGCAGAGUGACCAAAACAUGCAAAAAAUGGUAAAUUUGACAUAGUAAGGGAAGUAGAGCCAGAUUGAACAAAAGGAAAUAUAUGUUCAUGAAAUAUAAUAUCUCUGGAGAUAAAAUAGACUUUAUUCUGUAAAUCAUACAGUUUAUAGGCUUUCUUCCCAAAGGGAUAACCAAUAAACACACAAGGAAUGGCCCUAGGCUGCAGUUUGCCCCUAUAAGAUUUUGGAAUAGUGGAGUAACAUAAGCAUCCAAAAGAUCUAAGAUUUGAGUAUGUGGGGAGUUUGUUAUAUAAGAUUUCAUAGGGACUCUUGUCCUUUAAUACACUAGAAGGGAACCUAUUUAUCAGAUAGGUGGCUGUGAGUAUGCAGUUUCGUCAAAAUCUAAGAGGGAGGCUAGAUUGGAAAGGAUGGGCUCUAGUAGUUUCCAAGAGAUGUCUGUGCUUCCUUUCCACAACUCCAUUUCAUUAUGGAGUAUGAGGCCAUGUUGUCUGAUUCAAUACCCCUUUCUUAGAGAAGAACUUUGAUCCAACAACGUUGGAUCCCAAUUCUAAAGCAUUGUCACUUCUUACAUUUUGAACUUUCAAUUAGAAUUGAGUUUCGGCUAUGGCAAUGAAGGCUUUUAAGAGAUCAAAAGCAUCGCUUUUGGCUCUCAUUAGGUGGGUCCGAGUGGCUCUGGAAAAAUCACCAACAAUGGUCAUAAAUCUAGUAUAGGUAUGUCAGUGAUAUGGACCCUAACUGUUAAUGAUUAACUGAAAAGGUUUUGUGGUUUGUAUACUAUUAUCAGGAAAUGGUGAUCUUGUUUGUCUAGCUAAUGGACAUAUUAGACAAGAAAAAGACUAUUUGGAAGAUAACUGUGACCCAAGCAUGGAGAUGUGUUUCAUUCUAGAAAAAAGAAAAUACCCAAGCCUAUAAUGCCAAACUGCAUCCAUUUCAUUGAUAUUAUUCGGAGUUGCAUUAGUAUUUACAUGUGUUUCAUGAGCAUCAACAACAAUUACAUUCUUUACAUUUGCUUGUAUCUCAGGAAAAACACAGAUAAGGGAAAAACAAGGGAAAUAACAGGGGAAGUAACAAUAGAUGAGUAAUAGGAUGUGGUACUGGCAGAAGCAAUAGGAGGAAGUAAAAGUUUAUGGAGACUGUGGUCCAAUUUACUAAGAACCAGAGGCAUCUUCAGAGAAGGGGCCUGUAUAGCACAAAGAGUUCUGGUAAACAGAAUAAUCACAUUAUAUUGUUCUAACAGCUUAUGAAUUGAAAUAAGAUUGUAUUGAAAGGAAGGAAGAUAAAGAACAUGAUGAAUUGUGAAAUUUGAAAAUAAAGUCAAGGAUCCUACUAAAUGAACUUUGACUUUGUAACCAUUUGGAAGAGAAACUAGACAAGGUACAGGUAGUGUUUGCAGAUUAAAAAGUAAAUCCUUAUAAGAGGUCAUGUGAUCAAAAGCUCCAGAGUCUAUAGCCCAAAUAAAACUAUCUACUUGUGAAAGCAUGCAUGACUUGAGCGGAAUACUUUCUGAUAACAACUUACCAGCAAAGUUAGCAGAAGCCAUUAGAGUGGGAGUAGAGCAGGAAUCGACAGAAAAAUGGGAUUGUUGCAGUAACAUCAUCAUUUGGGAGAAUUGAUCUUGUGUCAAACCAGGGACCAUUGAAACAUUACCAGACUUAGAUGGCUUGACAGAAUCAGAAACCAUAUUAGAAACCACAUUAACAGGAGGACCAGGAGAGUUCACUUCAACAUGAGCUGCAGUUUCCUACUGCCAGGCCCUUUUGUAAACUUGAAGUUUGGAAUAUACCUAUGUAGUUUAUAACAUUUAUCAAUGAUGUGACCUGGUUUCUAAUAAUUUUUGCAUGUAAGGGGUCUUUGAGCAUUCUCACACUCCUUUUUUUCACUUCACUAACCCUCUUAAAAUUAAUAAAAGGUUUUAAAACUCGAAAGGGUUUUCAAAUUGAAAGUGACAAAAUUGUGUUCAAAAAAUUUUUCAGAGCCGCUACCUGAUAUUUGGUUUAAAAAUAACUUUUUAAAAAUAAUUUUUCCUUUUAAAAACACAUAUAGACUCUAAAACAUAGUCUGCACCAGAGAUUCAGAGAAAGGAGGUUCAUUUGAUUCGGGAGGAGGUGUUAGGCAUUCCUCGAGUCCCGCAACUAAUACGGUUGCAUACUUAAUCUAGUUGGAUUUAAAGAAAACUCAAGUUGAGGCAAAAACACACAAAGAAAAAUAAACACACAAGAGGCUCGAGGUCGUUCCCACCUAAAUACAAAAAAAAAAUAAGAGAAAAAUACUAAGAGUACUAUGCUCCCUCCACGAUGUCCGUCACGGCCUCCCAUUACAUUCACUAUGGGGCAUACCUCGUAUAAAAAUAUAUACAAAAUCUAUGGGGCAUUCCCCUAAAUAAGAUAAUAACUAAGGAAACGAUCUUUAGCCUUAGAAGCCAAAAAACAAAGAAAACAUCUUAAAAGUUGCCUACCCGGGCGUGGUCGGCCUAACAUGCACCUAGCGAUUAAAGCAAUAAAAUAAACUAAAAUAAAAUAAGACAUUCCUUUCAUACUCAUUUUUCUUUCAACGCUUCACAUCAUUCAUCAAGCCUAAAUCACUUAAUUCUAAUUAAUUGGAUUCUUGUCUCAUUCAAUACCACUCAACGCCCAACUAAUGCUCACGAUCAGUUAGAUUAGCCUAAAUUCUCUUUGUAAUUUUAGAAUUAUUUUCUUAACAUUAUAACUUCUUUGUGAGCUACGAUGUUUUUUCAAUUCCAAUGUACUAUAAAAUAAAGAAAAUCAUGUCAAUGUAAUCAAUCCAAUCUCCUGAUGUACUCCUCCGUUGUUUACACAAUUUCAAGGCAACAAGCUAAUUAAGAAGCAUCAUGGAAAUUAAUAGUUAAUUAACAUCAACUGACUAAUUAAAUAAAGGAAAUACAUGCUAACACAGAAGAGUCACAAUUAAUUAGAGCUAUUCAUCAAACGAGCGUAAUAAGCUGAAAUAAAAUGGGUUUGAGAAAUGGACCUUUAUUGAAACCAAAAUUUCUUUCAGAAUUUGAUUUAAGAAUGCCUCUGAGUAUGACACCGAAAAGCAAAAACAAUUGACAGCAAACUUGCACUAAAUUGAAAAUCAAUUCACGCCUCUGAUCGGACCUUGAACAGAAAAGUGUCGACCGGGGCACUCGAACAAUACUCGACGUUACUCAACAAUUAAUGGCGAAACAACCAUGAAAAUGGCUUGUUAGGGAGGACCCAUGGCAGUUUUGGGGACAGAUCUACAAUGGCUCUACUGGUGGUGGCUGGUGUCGCAUCUAUGGUAUUUUGGCCUGAUUUUCUGUGAGAGCAAUAACAGAGAGCCAAAUCCUAAAAUGGGUGUUGUCUCUGUCCAAAAGCCGAUGUUCUGUGUCGUCUCUCCCCGUUCUCUCAUGUCUUCCUCUCUCUUUAUGUAAUGUGUGUUUGGUGUGAGAACAUUCUAUCAAGAGUGGCAUCCAAUGUGCUGGGAUUAAUUGGGGAGCAAGGAAAAUGUUAUGGAU
rnacentral:lncRNA from 1 species